UACGGAGGGAGCUAGCGUUGUUCGGAAUUACUGGGCGUAAAGCGCGCGUAGGCGGCUUAUCAAGUCAGGGGUGAAAUCCCGGGGCUCAACCCCGGAACUGCCUCUGAAACUGGUAGACUAGAAUCCUGGAGAGGCGAGUGGAAUUCCGAGUGUAGAGGUGAAAUUCGUAGAUAUUCGGAAGAACACCAGUGGCGAAGGCGACUCGCUGGACAGGUAUUGACGCUGAGGUGCGAAAGCGUGGGGAGCAAACAGG
rnacentral:rRNA from 1 species